GAUGAACGCUGGCGGCGUGCUUAACACAUGCAAGUCGAACGGAAAGGCUCCUGCUUGCAGGGGUACUCGAGUGGCGAACGGGUGAGUAACACGUGGGUGAUCUGCCCUUCACUUCGGGAUAAGCCUGGGAAACUGGGUCUAAUACCGGAUAGGACGAUGGUUUGGAUGCCAUUGUGGAAAGUUUUUCGGUGUGGGAUGAGCUCGCGGCCUAUCGGCUUGUUGGUGGGGUAAUGGCCUACCAAGGCGUCGACGGGUAGCCGGCCUGAGAGGGUGUACGGCCACAUUGGGACUGAGAUACGGCCCAGACUCCUACGGGAGGCAGCAGUGGGGAAUAUUGCACAAUGGGCGCAAGCCUGAUGCAGCGACGCCGCGUGGGGGAUGACGGGCUUCGGGUUGUAAACUCCUUUCGCUAGGGACGAAGCGCAAGUGACGGUACCUGGAGAAGAAGCACCGGCUAACUACGUG
rnacentral:rRNA from 1 species